AUUGAACGCUGGCGGCAUGCCUUACACAUGCAAGUCGGACGGCAGCACGGGGCAACCUGGUGGCGAGUGGCGAACGGGUGAGUAAUGCAUCGGAACGUACCUUUCAGUGGGGGAUAACGUAGCGAAAGUUACGCUAAUACCGCAUAUUCUGUGAGCAGGAAAGCAGGGGAUCGCAAGCACUUGCGCUGGUUGAGCGGUCGAUAUCAGAUUAGCUAGUUGGUUAGGUAAAGGCUCACCAAGGCGACGAUCUGUAGCGGGUCUGAGAGGAUGAUCCGCCACACUGGAACUGAGACACGGUCCAGACUCCUACGGGAGGCAGCAGUGGGGAAUUUUGGACAAUGGGGGCAACCCUGAUCCAGCCAUGCCGCGUGAGUGAAGAAGGCCUUCGGGUUGUAAAGCUCUUUCGGCCGGGAAGAAAUCGUAUGGGUUAAUACCCUGUGCGGAUGACGGUACCGGCAUAAGAAGCACCGGCUAACUACGUGCCAGCAGCCGCCGUAAAAC
rnacentral:rRNA from 1 species